rnacentral:misc_RNA from 1 species
GUGAAUCAUCGAAUCUUUGAACGCAAAUUGCACUCUCUUCUGAGAGUAUGCCUGUUUGAGGGUCAGCCUAAAAAAAAUCAACAUUGUCCUGCUUUCGCGCUGACAUUCUUCGUAAAUUGGUUCAUCUUAAACCUUUUGGUUUUAAGCGGCUUAAAAUUUUCUUUACUAUUCCACGAACGGUUCUAAGAUUUACUUACACUUUUAAUUUAUCCAUCUUUAUUAGACGUGACCGUUUCAUCAGAUCGCGUCCA